GAACAGGGCCAAGGGCCAAGCUGUGGCCUUAAGCCAAUAUCUUGAGGUCAGGAAAAGAAGAAAUUCAACGUAAGGAAUGACAGUGAGCUAGGAAAAGCAGAAAGGAUGUGACCAACUGUGUCAAAUGCUGCUGAGACGUAAAACAUGAUGAAGUCCAAGAAUUGACUGGAGGGUCUGGUAGGACAGAGGAUGGCCGAUACUAGGCAUGCAUGUGCAUACAGAAAAGAGAGUAACCCAAUAGUGAGGAAGAAAUUGAUGCUGCAGGAGAGAGGGAAUAAUUGCCGAAGCAAAGAUCUUGAGGUACUGAGAAAGGAUGACCCUAAUUUCCUUAAUGCUGCAGCCUGCUUCCACUGAGGGACUGGAGGCUCCUUGAGCAAAAUUAUCUACCUCUUCACCUUUGGAUCUUUCACAGUUCCCAGUUCGGUGUACUACAGAUUGUACUUGCUAAAUAAAAAAUCAUUGUCAUGGUUUACCUAAA
rnacentral:lncRNA from 1 species